GGCUGGGUAGCUCAGUUGGUAGAGCAUGAGACUUAGUCCCAUGGUUGUGGGUUUGAGCCCCACAUUGGGUG